AGUGAACGCUGGCGGUAGGCCUAACACAUGCAAGUCGAACGGCAGCACAGUAAGAGCUUGCUCUUACGGGUGGCGAGUGGCGGACGGGUGAGGAAUACAUCGGAAUCUACUUUUUCGUGGGGGAUAACGUAGGGAAACUUACGCUAAUACCGCAUACGACCUACGGGUGAAAGCAGGGGAUCUUCGGACCUUGCGCGAUUGAAUGAGCCGAUGUCGGAUUAGCUAGUUGGCGGGGUAAAGGCCCACCAAGGCGACGAUCCGUAGCUGGUCUGAGAGGAUGAUCAGCCACACUGGAACUGAGACACGGUCCAGACUCCUACGGGAGGCAGCAGUGGGGAAUAUUGGACAAUGGGCGCAAGCCUGAUCCAGCCAUACCGCGUGGGUGAAGAAGGCCUUCGGGUUGUAAAGCCCUUUUGUUGGGAAAGAAAAGCAGCAGGUUAAUACCCCGCUGUUCUGACGGUACCCAAAGAAUAAGCACCGGCUACUUCGUG
rnacentral:rRNA from 1 species